rnacentral:rRNA from 1 species
CCUACGGGAGGCAGCAGUAAGGAAUAUUGGUCAAUGGACGAAAGUCUGAACCAGCCAUGCCGCGUGGAGGAUGAAGGUCCUCUGGAUUGUAAACUUCUUUUAUAUGGGGCGAAAAAAGGGUUUUCUAACUCGACUGACGGUACCAUAUGAAUAAGCACCGGCUAACUCCGUGCCAGCAGCCGCGGUAAUACGGAGGGUGCAAGCGUUAUCCGGAUUCACUGGGUUUAAAGGGAGCGUAGGUGGGUUGAUAAGUCAGUGGUGAAAUCUCCGAGCUUAACUCGGAAACUGCCAUUGAUACUAUCAGUCUUGAAUAUUGUGGAGGCUAGCGGAAUAUGUCAUGUAGCGGUGAAAUGCUUAGAUAUGACAUAGAACACCAAUUGCGAAGGCAGCUGGCUAUACAUAUAUUGACACUGAGGCUCGAAAGCGUGGGGAUCAAACAGGAUUAGAUACCCUGGUAGUCCACGCCCUAAACUAUGGAUACUCGACAUACGCGAUACACUGUGUGUGUCUGAGCGAAAGCAUUAAGUUCCCACCCUGG